rnacentral:rRNA from 1 species
UACGGAGGGUGCAAGCGUUGUUCGGAAUUACUGGGCGUAAAGGGCUCGUAGGCGGCCAACUAAGUCCGACGUGAAAUCCCCAGGCUCAACCUGGGAACUGCGUCCGAUACUGGAUGGCUUGAAUCCGGGAGAGGGAUGCAGAAUUCCAGGUGUAGCGGUGAAAUGCGUAGAUAUCUGGAGGAAUACCGGUGGCGAAGGCGGCAUCCUGGACCGGCAUUGACGCUGAGGAGCGAAAGCCAGGGGGAGCAAACGGG